AGUGAACGCUGGCGGUAGGCCUAACACAUGCAAGUCGAACGGCAGCACAGUAAGAGCUUGCUCUUACGGGUGGCGAGUGGCGGACGGGUGAGGAAUACAUCGGAAUCUACUUUUUCGUGGGGGAUAACGUAGGGAAACUUACGCUAAUACCGCAUACGACCUACGGGUGAAAGCAGGGGAUCUUCGGACCUUGCGCGAUUGAAUGAGCCGAUGUCGGAUUAGCUAGUUGGCGGGGUAAAGGCCCACCAAGGCGACGAUCCGUAGCUGGUCUGAGAGGAUGAUCAGCCACACUGGAACUGAGACACGGUCCAGACUCCUACGGGAGGCAGCAGUGGGGAAUAUUGGGCAAUGGGCGCAAGCCUGAUCCAGCCAUACCGCGUGGGUGAAGAAGGCCUUUGGGUUGUAAAGCCCUUUUGUUGGGAAAGAAAAGCAGCAGGUUAAUACCCCGCUGUUCUGACGGUACCCAAAGAAUAAGCACCGGCUAACUUCGUG
rnacentral:rRNA from 1 species